rnacentral:lncRNA from 1 species
UCGUCACAAAAAGGAUUAGUGUUACUCAUAUAAGCUUUAUUUAUACCUAAUACUUAUUAAAUUAGGUAUGUAUGUAAAACUAUUUUUUUACUAGGAUUUCUGAUGCACUGGUUAAAAACACAGCAGCUGAUAAUUCAGUUAAUUUACCAAGUGAUUUACCCUUCAAAGCUACAGGAAUAGCUUUCCUGAAGAGUGCAAAAACUUCUUUAGCUUCCAAAAUGGUAUAUAGUACAAACAGUGAAGCUGAUAUAGACAAAUCUGAUCAUUCAUCAUCAACAAUAACUGCAUCUGAGAUUAAUAGUUCUACAGUAACCGUGGGGUCUAGGUCAACAAUUACUAUUUCUCAUCCAAGCCGUUUUUGUUUAACUGCUACAUAUUCCCUGACUCUGCCAAGGAAAAGGGUAAAAUCAAAAUGAUAUCCUGAGGACCUAAGCACUGAUGAUUCCACCGUUUCAAAAGCUAAAUCACUUGUUACCAAAUUAUGGAAAAAAAAUAAAGAGCAAAAAAUUAAAAUUCGAAGAUUGCAAUAAACAAAUUUGCCCCAAAGAAAUUGAAUUAGAUGUCUCAAGUCAUUAUUAAAAUACUUAAGAAAUAAUAACAUGAUUUUUGAAAAAGCCCAACAUACUACAUAUUUUAUUUGACUUGUAAAAGUACUUCUUUGUAUAUUUUUACUAAUAAACUAUUUAAUCUAAUCUAUUGUACAUAGUCUUUAUUCUUAGGUAAGCUUUGUUUUUUAGUAUAAAUUAAUAUGAUAUAAUAUUUGGUAUUAGGUAUUAUAUAGGUCACUGUUAAAUGUCUCAAAACCAUUGUACAGGCUAGAUACUCAUAAUAAAAAUCUUAUAACCUAUAAAAAACCUGCAACUCCUUCACAAUUUAAACCUCCUUGUAGUUUUAACUCUUUCCGCUGAAUCAAUACUGUCCCUUUGAAAAAGUCAGCACCAUAGAAGUAUAUAUUAUGUGAUAUAAAGUAAGUGAUGUAAACCUGAGUUUUGUCCAAUAUAAUAAUAACAAUAAAAUUUUGCAAAAUGUUAAUAAUUUGUGUCUUAAAACAUGAUUUAUUAAGAAAUCUAUAAUUUUAUAUUAAAAUAUUUAAUUUCCAUAAAAAUGCUUUGACAAAAAUGGUGCCUUUUAUUAGGACCUUCCUCUAACGAAGUCCGUUAAAAAAACACAUAAAUAGCUCAUAAAUGGUAAUAUUACUUAUACUCAAACUCUAUAAUAAUUAAUAAAAAUUUAUCAGGUAAAUAUUUGUUGACGACGUCACUGGUAGAGAGUGCUUGUAUGAGUGGCAUAAACAAUGGGAUCGAGCGGCGUUGCGAUGCCAUUACCGUUUUCUCGUUUCUUCGUACUUUAUUUUCAUUUAUUUAAAGUUAAUAUUGACUUCGAUAUAGAGUAUUUUAUCAAAUUUAUUUUUAAAAAAUGCUUGAUAUUUUAUUAAAGGGGAGCAGUAGUAUUGUUUUGAGCCUUUGGAAACAACUGAAAAUUUUUAUGAUAUUAUAAAGUGAUUUUUGCCAUUUCUGUAUAAGCAUUUGGCAUCAUUGCAUCAGAGAUGUUGCAAGCAAACAAACCUGUCCAUAGUUCCACGGCAUGCUACUUCUAGCCUUUCAAUGUUCUA